UGGAGUACACACGUGUUGUUGCGAGUCCCCACAUGCCAAAGACAGUGGCAAGCUGAAACACACUGGACUGGCUUGUGCGAGCAAAAUCAGCCAGCCGACAGGAGCUGGGCUGCAGGUCAAAAAACUGUGGUCAGAAACAAGGGUCACACAAGGGUCACAGGGACAAGAGGACAGAACUGGGCGAAGGGUCAGGAGACUGACCCCACCUCUUUGCCCCACCCCUGGCUUGGAAAGAUGGGAUUGGAGGAGAACAGAAUGAAGACAAGCCCAUCAGAUCCAGAAGCCCUCUCGGGAACAUUGGAGAGAAACUGAAGAAUGCUGCAAAAGAUGAUGCAAUGACCUGUGUUAAGAAGGAAAAUGACACCAAAUGUUUUGUGUUGAGCUACAAAGUGUGUAUCUGGUAAAUGACCCCUUGACCUUAAGCUGGUCCAGGAAGGGUAUAUAAGAACAGCUCUGAACAGCAGAGAGAGAUUGAGAGAUUCGACAGAGCUGGGGCAGACGACAAGAAGAGACAGAGCAGAUUUGGAGGGGUCAUCCCCCGUCCUGCUGGAUGGGGGAUGACAGGCGGUUCUUCGAGAGAGGGCUUCAGGCUUCGUUCUUGGGGAGAUUCUGAGAAGACGAGAGCUGGUGUAAACUGACUCUCAUUUAAUCAUUUUGAACUAAUUCCUCCGUGGGGGAUAGUAGUUGUUUUUUACUUUACCCAUUUUUGUAUUUUGAUUUUGUAAUAAACCUUUUUUGAAAAAGAAACAUAAUCCUGAUUCUUUCAGGUUUUCUCUAAAGCUUCACGAGUGGGGGCUCUGAUCAUUAAUUGCACAGAGGACGCCCAAACCAGGAUCUAAUACCAUAAUACUCACCGACAUCCCCAUCGAACCCUGAUGGAUGCACCGUCUCAUAAGUUCUAACGGAACUGGGUUUUAAAGGAACCGGUAAAUGGGACGGGCUCGCGACAUGGCGCGCCAAACGUGGGGCUACGGAGUGAAGGUCUAAAUAUUAGAUACCGGGCUAUCCGACGUAGAACUGUCUUUUAGGCUGAUAAAAGCUUGCGCGCUAAGGACCUAUUAAGCUUAUAACCUUGGAGUGAAAACCGCACCAGUUUCUCGAAAAAGAAAGAAAUCUGGGAGAACGGACGAUCAACUUAAAAAGGUAUAAAGAAAAUACGGCAUUCCGACGCAAGAAAAGCCAAGGAUAAAAGCUAGGCAAAAAAUAAAAAUAAAUAAAGAAUAAGAAAAACUUUUAACCAGCCAUGGCAGAUAGAUCUUUCAAUAUCCUGUAACCGGAGCUUUCAGAAUGAGGCUGGAAAAGCUAGUAUGGAGCUGCGGCGGGGCACUGUCCGGGUGCUGAGGCACAAGUGAGAUGCGAUUAAACGUCAUGGCUGGAUCAAAAUCUAGUGAAGGACUGAUAUGUAAGAAUCUGUGUGACUUGGGCCUCGUUUCUGGUAACACGGGGAGGUAUUUGUCACGAACUGUAAAGUAAUCAUGUUUCCUAGCUUCAUAGAAUCUCAUGUCGGGCAUCGUCACGCGCAAUGGAGGCUAGAAGCCGGGAACAUGUUUAAUGUGUGAACCUCUGUGCUUAAGGGCUCCGUGAGGGGAGAAACCGUGCCGCCUGUAAAGGACGGACUUAUAACUGGGAGCAUUGGAACUCUGCUCCAAUUAAACUUUGUUUUUAGAGGAUCUGCUUGAAACAAGCACCUAGCUUCCGCUCUCGGCAGCCUGCAGAUAUGAGAAGCCACAGCUGAACAGAGAAAAAGCACUCAAGUCAGCUGAGCAACAACAGACAAGCAGGAUGUGGUGACAUCACCCCUCCCCCUACUAGUUCUGUUGAGAAGGGAGAGUCCUGAACUAACAGCUCCGUAUGAUUCUGACCUGACAGACAGCUACACUAAUAAUGCGUAAGCAUUUUUAACCUCGCUACAUAUGGUGUUGUAGGCAGGAUCCAUGUAGUGCUGUCAAGUAGGUCAGUGGAUGUGAAGUUUGUGGCACCCUGCGCGGGAGUACGAGGACGAGCUUGUGGAAAGAAGGGAGGAAGAUGUGACAGUGUGAGCGUUCUGUCACAAUGUCUUGAUUGAUGAUGCGCCCUGGCCAGCUGGCUAAGGGGAUGUCCCUUUGGCUGAGUGGUUAGAGCGCAUGACUCCCACCUUGGAGUUCUCGGGAUCUAAUCCCGCCCGUGCCAUCAUUUAUCCACCUUGCCACACUUUAUAGUUUUUAGCGUAAGCUUCCCACCUGCAGCUACAAGCAGCGUUAGCUUGUUGCUGUUCAGGUGUGUGAGGAGAAUAUUUGAAGCUCUGCAGUAAAAGAUGUCUUCAGUCUGGAGGGAGAGAGUCUCUGCUUGAAGGAGCAGACUGAGAUGUUCCAACCAGCAGCUCAGCUGACCAGAUGGCAGCUGAAACUGGUGGAGAAGCAGGAACCCAGAUCUGAACCCUCAUGAACAAACAUCUGGUUCUUCAGAGACUGAAGUGAGUUAUGAUGAUGAUGAUGAUGGUGUGUAUCUGGACUCUGAGCUAGUCAGACUCUGGGUCUGAGACUGGAGAUGAAGAUGAUCCAGAGGAGGAGGCAGCCCCACCCCAAAGAAGGCUGCUGCAGUCCCCUGGCUAGAUUUUUCUCGCAUGGGGGAUGUUGCGAGUCCCCACAUGCCAAAGACAGUGGCAAGCUGAAACACACUGGACUGGCUUGUGCGAGCAAAAUCAGCCAGCCGACAGGAGCUGGGCUGCAGGUCAAAAAACUGUGGUCAGAAACAAGGGUCACACAAGGGUCACAGGGACAAGAGGACAGAACUGGGCGAAGGGUCAGGAGACUGACCCCACCUCUUUGCCCCACCCCUGGCUUGGAAAGAUGGGAUUGGAGGAGAACAGAAUGAAGACAAGCCCAUCAGAUCCAGAAGCCCUCUCGGGAACAUUGGAGAGAAACUGAAGAAUGCUGCAAAAGAUGAUGCAAUGACCUGUGUUAAGAAGGAAAAUGACACCAAAUGUUUUGUGUUGAGCUACAAAGUGUGUAUCUGGUAAAUGACCCCUUGACCUUAAGCUGGUCCAGGAAGGGUAUAUAAGAACAGCUCUGAACAGCAGAGAGAGAUUGAGAGAUUCGACAGAGCUGGGGCAGACGACAAGAAGAGACAGAGCAGAUUUGGAGGGGUCAUCCCCCGUCCUGCUGGAUGGGGGAUGACAGGCGGUUCUUCGAGAGAGGGCUUCAGGCUUCGUUCUUGGGGAGAUUCUGAGAAGACGAGAGCUGGUGUAAACUGACUCUCAUUUAAUCAUUUUGAACUAAUUCCUCCGUGGGGGAUAGUAGUUGUUUUUUACUUUACCCAUUUUUGUAUUUUGAUUUUGUAAUAAACCUUUUUUGAAAAAGAAACAUAAUCCUGAUUCUUUCAGGUUUUCUCUAAAGCUUCACGAGUGGGGGCUCUGAUCAUUAAUUGCACAGAGGACGCCCAAACCAGGAUCUAAUACCAUAAUACUCACCGACAUCCCCAUCGAACCCUGAUGGAUGCACCGUCUCAUAAGUUCUAACGGAACUGGGUUUUAAAGGAACCGGUAAAUGGGACGGGCACGCGACAGUGUCAUUAAGAAGAUGUGCCCUUAGUG